UACAGAGGGUGCGAGCGUUAAUCGGAAUUACUGGGCGUAAAGCGCACGUAGUCGGCUUUGCAAGUCGGUUGUGAAAUCCCCGGGCUCAACCUGGGAACUGCAUCCGAGACUGCACUGCUAGAGUAUGGGAGAGGAAAGCGGAAUUUCUGGUGUAGCAGUGAAAUGCGUAGAUAUCAGAAGGAACAUCAGUGGCGAAGGCGGCUUUCUGGACCAAUACUGACGAUCAGGUGCGAAAGCGUGGGGAGCAAACAGG
rnacentral:rRNA from 1 species